GAUCAUGACUCAGGAUGAACGCUAGCUACAGGCUUAACACAUGCAAGUCGAGGGGCAGCAUGGUCUUAGCUUGCUAAGACUGAUGGCGACCGGCGCACGGGUGAGUAACACGUAUCCAACCUGCCGUCUACUCUUGGACAGCCUUCUGAAAGGAAGAUUAAUACAAGAUGGCAUCAUGAGUCCGCAUGUUCACAUUAUUAAAGGUAUUCCGGUAGACGAUGGGGUAG
rnacentral:rRNA from 1 species